AUUCAGCUGACGAGCCCCAAAUAGGACGAAACGCGCAUCCUUGAU
rnacentral:hammerhead_ribozyme from 1 species